GCAAACCCUAGACCCUAGACCACAGAAAUUGCCGAUUCAAAAAGUCUUCGUUUUUCGUGAAUCAGAGGAUCAAAUCAACAAAUAGACUAUCGGCAUGGUCAAAUUAUUGCAUUAAUUUCAAGCAAUUCGAAGAAAAGGUUUUAACUUGCGUUUGAUUAAAUUUAGUUGCCCAUAAUGAGGUUUAAAAGGGGCAGUAAGGUGGAGGUUAUGAACAAAAAGGAGGUGCCAAUCUCUUGGCGUAGUGCCGAGAUACUAAAUGGGAAUGGUCAUACUUAUUAUGUGAGGUAUGAGUACCAUCCGGUUAUGAACAACAGAUCUAUGAUGGAAAGGGUGUCAAGGAAAUUUGUUAGACCCUGUCCUCUGCCUUCACAGGGCAUAGAGACUUGGAAAGUUGGAGAUACUGUGGAGGUUUUUGAAGAUUUCUCAUGGAAAAUUGCCACCAUAUUGACAGUUAUGCAGGGGGAUUACUACACGGUGAGGCUACUUGGAAGCUCCAAGGAAUCCAAUGUACACAAAUUGAAUAUCCGAGAGCAAUGGUUAUGGCUAGAUGACAAAUGGAUCCUGAUGGGAAAGAAAUCUGGAGCAUGUGGAGUAAAUCAAGUCAACAAGCAAUCAAGUUUGAAUUACUAUGAGAAAACAAGCUUCCAAGCAGCAAAAUUUAAUGCAGGGACACACACUGAAGCACAAAAAAAUUGUUUAGACAUUGAGAAACGAAAUGGGUUGCAGGAGUUUCACAAAUUAUCAAGAUCCCUCAAAAGAUUGUCCCAGGAUAGUUCAUGUGUUAUUGAAUCACUUACUGGGAAGGCUUACAAAAUCAGAGCAGUCGAGAAAGAUUAUAGGAAACAAAAGGUGGCUCCACCCUCAUUGGUGGAAAAGGGACAAAUUUUGGAAGCAUGCUUCCCUUGCUUCCCAAGGUUUAAAGAUGAUGUUGGGGACCUUGGGCUUUGCACCUUUUCCUUGGCAUAUACAGUGGGACACUGCUUGCAUCCACUUUCUUGCAGAUAAGAUCAUGAUGAUGUGGGAAAGUUGUUUCAGGUAAUGGUAGUCCCAUUGGCAAGGGACAGUGAUGUGAUGUUUGUGACCAAAAGUCACGUCACAAGCCUCCAGCAUUGGUGUAAGAUUAAUUUUUCUCACUAUGAUCGAACAAUACAACAUUACUUAACACAGAUUGGCUCCAUUCACUUCAGUAGCAUAUCACUUUCCACAUUGACAGAGUUACGGGUAGUCCACUAAGUAUUCCAGGGCGAAGUUUGCGUCCAUUGAUUCCUGUUAUCUACGGUUUAAACAGAUGAUGCUGGUUCUAACAGUCUUGCGCCCCUUUUCUCAUCAUAAAAAUGAUCAGGUGAUAUGGCUUCCGUGUCCGACUGAUGAGGCAAACUAUGACAAAUUUGUUGUUGCUGGGGCUUGCUUGGGUGCGUCUAUAAAGAUGGCUGAUGUGGAGAUAUGUUGCUAUCAUGGUUAUAUUGGUGUGCUAUCACGUUUGACAGGAGAGUUUCAAGAAGCGCCACAUUCCUCUGUAGUUCAUGAAGAAGACAUAAGUGAAACUGUUCAAAUAAAAAUUCUGGAUAUUUUUCUGUGGCUCUACAGCUGGAAGCACAGCACUCGUACAUGAAGAAACACCACAGAAGGAACUAGGUUCAGUUUUGAUCAUAUAGCACAUCAAAGGCUGUCUACAAUUAGAACGUGGCCUGCUACAAGUCGAACAAGGGGAAAUAACAGUAAAAUUAAAUAAUAAAAAAAACCUCUAGUUAAACUUAUUUCUGUACUUAAUAAACAUAGAGAGACAACCAUGCAAGCUGCUUAGUAUGUGCAAGGAGUUGAAGUAGUGGAGCCUGAAACUUUUGAAGGUUAUGGUCAGAUUUAUCAGGACAACAA